rnacentral:rRNA from 1 species
UACAGAGGUCCCAAGCGUUGUUCGGAUUCAUUGGGCGUAAAGGGUGCGUAGGUGGCAUGGUAAGUCGGAUGUGAAAUCCCGGGGCUCAACCCCGGAACUGCAUUCGAUACUGCUGCGCUAGAGUACUGGAGAGGAGAUUGGAAUUUACGGUGUAGCAGUGAAAUGCGUAGAUAUCGUAAGGAAGACCAGUGGCGAAGGCGGAUCUCUGGACAGUUACUGACACUGGAGGCACGAAGGCCAGGGGAGCAAACGGG